rnacentral:tRNA from 1 species
GGCCCGGUAGCUCAGUUGGUAGAGCAGAGGACUGAAAAUCCUCGUGUCCUCGGUUCGAUUCCGAGCUGGGCCACCA